GUGCUCGCUUUAGCAGCACAUAUAUUAAAAUUGGAACGAGAGAUGAUUAACAUGGCCCCUGUGCAAGGAUGACAUGCAAAUUCAUGAAGCGUUCCAUAUUUAA